UUGGCCUACUUAAUCAUUAUCGAUUUGUAUGCAACCUUUAUAUAUUGCACGCGCGAUGCGUAAUAAUGUAUUAUAUUAUUUAUUUUUUCAAAGGGAGCUGUUCCUAGCACAAUGUUUGUGUUAAAAUAGUCUUUUUAAACCUUUAAAAAUAAAAAACAUAUAAAACUCUUGUUUAGAUAUAAGAAUUCUAUGUUCAUGACACGUGGUCAUGGACAUUUCAUUAUUUGAAUAUUUAAAAAUCCAGAUCCAAAAAUGUAAAAUAUUAUCAAAUUAAAGUAUGUGAAUGGAGAUUAGAAAUUUAUUUUUUAAAUAUUAAGUUUAAUUUUUCUUAAAUAUGUUUUUAAAUUAAUUUUUUUUAAUGUUGUUUUAAUAUAAGUAUGUAAACAAUGAACGUGAAAACAAUGUUAACGAAUUCUGAAAUUAGUUUUCAAAAGUGAAAAUAUUUGGCCGCGCCAAGAUCCCCAUUUGUCUACAACUGUCAAAACCCUUUAUUUAAAAUAAAAUAUUAAAAGUCUAAUAAAAAUUAUAUAUAGUUAAAGUUCUAUAAUUAUUAAACAACAAUAGUGUAUAAUGGUACUUAUUUUAAGAUUUUUUGCUAUUUUCAAACAAAAUACUCAAAUUAUACUCUAUUUUUAAAUAAAAACAAUAGUACUAGAGAUACUUAUUGUAGGUAUUCACUAAUUGUACACAAAAAACAACACAUUGUAUUCUAUUGGCUAUAUUAU